AUUGAACGCUGGCGGCAGGCCUAACACAUGCAAGUCGAGCGGCAGCGACAUAAACAAUCCUUCGGGUGCGCUUAUGGGCGGCGAGCGGCGGAACGGGUGAGUAAUGCCUGGGAAUAUGCCCUGAUGUGGGGGAUAACCAUUGGAAACGAUGGCUUAAUACCGCAUAAUCUCUUCGGAGCAAAGAGGGGGACCUUUCGGGCCUCUCGCGUCAGGAAAUUAGCCCAGGUGAGAUUAGCUAGUUGGUGAGGUAAGAGCUCACCAAGGCGACGAUCUCUAGCUGGUCUGAGAGGAUGAUCAGCCACACUGGAACUGAGACACGGUCCAGACUCCUACGGGAGGCAGCAGUGGGGAAUAUUGCACAAUGGGGGAAGCCCUGAUGCAGCCAUGCCGCGUGUGUGAAGAAGGCCUUCGGGUUGUAAAGCACUUUCAGUUGUGAGGAAGGCAUAUACGUUAAUAGCGUGUGUGUUUGACGUUAGCAACAGAAGAAGCACCGGCUAACUCCGUGCCAGCAGCCGCGGUAAUACGGAGGGUGCGAGCGUUAAUCGGAAUUACUGGGCGUAAAGCGCAUGCAGGCGGCUUGUUAAGCCAGAUGUGAAAGCCCGGGGCUCAACCUCGGAAUAGCAUUUGGAACUGGCAGGCUAGAGUCUUGUAGAGGGGGGUAGAAUUUCAGGUGUAGCGGUGAAAUGCGUAGAGAUCUGAAGGAAUACCGGUGGCGAAGGCGGCCCCCUGGACAAAGACUGACGCUCAGAUGCGAAAGCGUGGGGAGCAAACAGGAUUAGAUACCCUGGUAGUCCACGCCGUAAACGAUGUCUACUUGGAGGUUGGAAUCUUGAAUUCUGGCUUUCGGAGCUAACGCAUUAAGUAGACCGCCUGGGGAGUACGGUCGCAAGAUUAAAACUCAAAUGAAUUGACGGGGGCCCGCACAAGCGGUGGAGCAUGUGGUUUAAUUCGAUGCAACGCGAAGAACCUUACCUACUCUUGACAUCCAGAGAACUUUCCAGAGAUGGAUUGGUGCCUUCGGGAACUCUGAGACAGGUGCUGCAUGGCNGUCGUCAGCUCGUGUUGUGAAAUGUUGGGUU
rnacentral:rRNA from 1 species